CCUACGGGGGGCAGCAGUGAGGGAUAUUGGUCAAUGGGGGAAACCCUGAACCAGCAACGCCGCGUGAGGGAAGACGGCUCUCGGAUUGUAAAACUCUGUCCUCUGUGAAGAUAAUGACGGUAGCAGAGGAGGAAGCUCCGGCUAACUACGUGCCAGCAGCCGCGGUAAUACGUAGGGAGCAAGCGUUGUCCGGAUUUACUGGGUGUAAAGGGUGCGUAGACGGGUCUGCAAGUCAGAAGUGAAAUCCAUGGGCUUAACCGGGGAAUUGCAUUUGAAACUGUAGGGCUUGAGUGAAGUAGAGGCAGGCGGAAUUCGCGGUGUAGCGGUGAAAUGCGUAGAGAGCGGGAGGAACACCAGUGGCGAAGGCGGCCUGCUGGGCUUUAACUGACGCUGAAGCACGAAAGCGUGGGUAGCAAACAGGAUUAGAUACCCUUGUAGUC
rnacentral:rRNA from 1 species